UGUAAUAAAAAGCCUUGACCGGAUAUCAUAUGUUAAAAAAAAAACAAACUUUCAACCCGAGUUCAAACCCAUAUCUUCUAUUAAAGCCAUAUCACAAAUACGGUAGCAUUUCUCGUCACUGAUGACCAACUAUUUAAAGUGUUUGACGACAAAGUGCUCGAGGAUCUGACGAAACGCAUAAACAAAACUCGAUUCACAUUACGCCUCAGCCCCUGACAAGCCAACCCUUCAACCUGAUGAUGACCGACAUAAUAAUAAACCUCUUAAGCUGUCAAACAAACCCAAUGUGUGGGUCUCGUCGACCUCUCCGGAGCUCGUGAAGGCGGACAUCCCAACUAGCACAAGUUCACGAGUUCAUCUCGACUCGUUUGUGAAACGUUCAGGUUUCUUGGAGACGAAGGACCGAUCAUGAGAAAAAGUUCAAACAGUCAUUUGAGUUUGAGUUUAUUGCCUUGGA